rnacentral:rRNA from 1 species
UCNCCCAAUGGGCGGANGNAANAUUCAGCAAUGCCGCGUGUGUGAAGAAGGCCUUCGGGUUGUAAAGCACUUUUGUUAGGGAGGAANGUCUNCGCAGCUAAUAACUGCGAGAUAUGACGUUACCUAAAGAAUCAGCACCGGCUAACUCUGUGCCAGCAGCCGCGGUAAUACAGAGGGUGCAAGCGUUAAUCGGAAUUACUGGGCGUAAAGGGUCUGUAGGCGGAUUAUUAAGUCGGAUGUGAAAUCCCCGGGCUUAACCUGGGAACGGCAUUCGAUACUGGUAGUCUAGAGUGUGCAAGAGGAUGGGGGAAUUCCUGGUGUAGCAGUGAAAUGCGUAGAGAUCAGGAGGAACAUCAAUGGCGAAGGCACCUUUCUGGGGCAACACUGACGCUGAGAGACGAAAGCGUGGGGAGCAAACAGGAUUAGAUACNNUNUUUNGUCCACGCCCUAAACGAUGUCAACUAACUGUUCGGAGUCACUAAGAUUCUGAGUA